rnacentral:tRNA from 1 species
AUUUCUUUAGUAUAACCAAUACUCAUGACUUCCAAUCAUACUAUCUUGGUUCAACCCCAAGAAGAAAUA